CAAGAAGAUGUUCAAACAACCAAGAGAUAUGUUAGUCCAAAGACAGAAUGAGGAGCGAACUUUUACCACUUAUUUGUGUAGAAGAGUAUGGUACCAGGGGUGCAGCUGACUCUGAUUCCCGGCUUCUUCUAAUAAAAAAAGGCAGAUGAGGCACUGGAAUCCGAAUGAAAUCAAAAAUGCCAUUGUAUGAGGAUUGACCUGCAAUGCAUGGAAAUCAUCUAACACAAUUGCAACGCCUACCUUGGAAAAAUGAGUGCAAGAUGGAAACAAAGCGUUCAGUGGAACAUCUUGUCAUCUCAAAUAUUUGAUGACUUACAUACUGAUGUGAAGUUGAAGAUAAAAGUCAUCUGUUGGUCCGUGAUUAUUAAAUAAAUCCGAACAUAUAUUUUAAAAGGGUAAUAUGGUAAAGGAUUUAUCUACGCUUAAAGUUGUUUUCCUAUAUUAUGGAGGGAAUAUAACUACAAAAACAGAAACAGAUGGCAUCGGCAGACCAAAUAAAGGAGAAUUAUUUUGUUCAGUUCAAUUUUUAAGACUUCAGAAAAUCCGUUAAUAUGGCACAUCCUUGCAAAUGCCAUAUUGUAAACUGGGCUCUUUAAAUUAAAAUGUGAAAAGGUGAAAGUGGUCUAGAGGAUAAGCCUCAAAUUCAAGGUUGUGAGUUCAAGAUACUUUCUCUUGACCUCAGGAAAAGGAUGUCCAUUCUUGUUUCUACAUUUAGACAAAUAAAAUGCAAAGAAAGAUCUAUAAUUCUGACACAUGGUAAUGCUUUAAAUAGUCCUCUCAUUGAGUGUUUAUGGUUAAAGUGGAGACAUACAGUAUUUUUUAUAACGAAGAAUUAAAUUUGUAUGGCAACUUAAAGCCAUAUAUGGGGAUUAAACGCCAGAAAUAUUGUGAAGUCUCCCAAAAGACUCAAUGCACUUAAAAGGGCUUGGCACAGAAAUGAAAGUAAAAAUGGGAGCAAAACCUAAUUUAUCAUUAAUUUUACAUUGGAUUGCAUACAGAUGGCACUGUUAUUACUUGACUAAUAUUAAAAAUAAAAUUAAGAGACGUGUUGAUCCAAACUGUAAUUAUUCUUGUUUGCAUUUUAUGGAGUUAUAAGAGUCAUUUGGUGAAGA